UCGAUCGCUUACCGACGGUGGUAGAGCACUGGAUCCGUGCGGGGGCCUCACCGCCUACCAACCGAAACCAAACUCCGAAUGCCGUCGGUCCCGAGAUCGGGAGUCAGAACAUGUGGGCUAAGCCGUGUGUUCGAGAGGGAAACAGCCCAGACCGCCUGCUAAGGUCCCCAAAUCAACGCUGAGUGGCAAAGGAUGUGCGUUUGCCUAGACAACCAGGAUGUUGGCUUAGAAGCAGCCAUGCAUUUAAAGAGUGCGUAACAGCUCACUGGUCAAGUGGACAUGCGCCGACAAUACACGGGGCUAAGCGUUGUACCGAAGCAGCGGACUGUUUUAUCAGUGGUAGGGGAGCUUUCCAUGCCGGGGCGAAGCCGACGGGCGACCGUCGGUGGACUGCAUGGAAGUGAGAAUGCUGGCAUGAGUAACGAGAGAGGGGCGAGAAACCCCUCCGCCGUAAGCCUAAGGGUUCCUGGGCAAGGCUAAUCCCCCCAGGGUCAGUCGGGAGCUAAGGCGAGGCCGACAGGCGUAGCCGAUGCACAACAGGCGGACAUUCCUGUACCACCGCGGAGCGUUACUACGACGGGGUGACGGAGAAGGGUAGCCGGGCGGGGUUCUGGACGUCCCCGUGAAAGCGCGUAGGCCGCAGGGCAGGCAAAUCCGCCCUGCAGCGAGGCCGAGACGUUAGACGAAGCUUCAUGUGAAGCCGGCGAGCCCAUGCUUCCGAGAAAAACCUCUAAGGAGCGAGGCGGUGCCCGUACCAAAACCGACACAGGUAGGCGGGUAGAGCAUACCAAGGCGAUCGGGAGAACCAUGGUUAAGGAACUCGGCAUACUGACUCCGUAACUUCGGGAGAAGGAGUGCCCCCGCCUGUGAGGUCCCACGCGGACGGAGCGGGAGGGGGUCGCAGCGAAACGGCCCAAGCGACUGUUUACCAAAAACACAGGACUCUGCAAAGCCGCAAGGCGACGUAUAGGGUCUGACGCCUGCCCGGUGCUGGAAGGUUACGCGGAUGAGUUAGCGCAAGCGAAGCCCUGAAGCCAAGCCCCAGUAAACGGCGGCCGUAACUAUAACGGUCCUAAGGUAGCGAAAUUCCUUGUCGGGUAAGUUCCGACCUGCACGAAUGGCGUAACGACUUGGGCGCUGUCUCAACCAUGGACCCGGUGAAAUUGUAUUAUUCGUGAAGAUGCGAAUUACCUGCGGAAGGACGGAAAGACCCCGUGAACCUUUACUGCAGCUUGGCAUUGGCUGUUGGUGCGGUGCGUAGAGGAUAGGCAGGAGCCUGCGAACCGGGAACGCCAGUUCCCGGGGAGGCGCCCUUGGAAUACUGCCCUCACCGCAUCGGCAGCCUAACGCGCCGCCCUCAUCGGGGGCGCGGACCGUGCCAGGUGGGUAGUUUGACUGGGGCGGUCGCCUCCUAAACUGUAACGGAGGCGUGCGAAGGUUCGCUCAGGGCGGUUGGCAAUCGCCCGCAGAGCACAAGAGUACAAGC
rnacentral:rRNA from 1 species